UCGAGGAUAUUUAGCAAUGGGCGAAAGCCUGACUAUGCGACGCCGCGUGAGGGAUGAAGGUUUUCGGAUCGUAAACCUCUUUCGAUGGGGAAGAAAUGCUGUGUCAUAAUACGGCACAGAGCUGACGGUACCCAGAGAAGAAGCCACGGCCAACUCCGUGCCAGCAGCCGCGGUAAUACGGAGGUGGCGAGCGUUACUCGGAUUCAUUGGGUGUAAAGGGCAGGUAGGCGGCUCUGUAAGUUGGAGGUGAAAUCCUUUGGCUCAACCAAAGAACUGCCUUCAAAACUGCAGGGCUUGAGGAUAAGAGAGGAGAGCGGAAUUCCCGGUGUAAGGGUGAAAUCUGUAGAUAUCGGGAGGAACACCCGUGGCGAAAGCGGCUCUCUGGCUUGUCCCUGACGCU
rnacentral:rRNA from 1 species